UUCUUGAAAAUUAAAAUUGUUGGCGGUAUUUUAGUCUAUUCAGAGGAACCUGUCCUAUAAUUGAUGAUCCACGGUUUUAUUGACUUACUUUAAAUUAGUUUGUAUAUCGUCGUAGGUUGAAUAUUUUUAAAGAAUUAAAAUAUUCAAAAUUUUUUUAAGAAAGGAAUUCAGAUCAAGAUAUAGCUUAUAGGUAAGAAGAGAUGGGUUACAAUAAAUUUAUUUAAAUGGAGAUUUUAUUUUAAAAAAAGUUGAAAUUGGAUUUGAGGGUAAUUAUAAAAAUUUAUUUAUAGUGAUUUUAGCUCUAAAAUAUGUACAUAUCGCCCGUCGCUUUCAUUAUAAAAUGGAAUAAGUCGUAACAUAGUGGGUGUACUGGAAAGUGCCUCUAGCAGCAGAUUAAAGCUUUUAUAGCAUUUUAUUUACAUUAAAAAGAAUAUUUGAUAAAAUAUAAUUUGAGAUAUAAAAAUUAUUUUGUUUAUGUAAGUAUUGUGUAUUUAUAUGGGUAUAAGUAACUUUUUCUUUAUAUAUAUAUAUUAUAAAAAAAAUUGAAUUUUUAUUAUUAAAAAGAAAUAAUUGUUAUUAUUAUAGAUAAUUAGUAUUGUGAAAGAAAUUUUAUUAAUUUUGUAAAAGAAAAAUUUAGUUUUUGUACCUGGGUAUCAGGGCUUAUUAAAUAAAAAUUAAAUAGGUUAAAGUUUCUCGAAUUUAAAAGAGUUAUAUUUUUAUAUUUUUUAUUGUAGAAUAAAUAUUAUUCAUAUUAAUAUAGAAGUGAAACGUUAGUCGAUUUUAAAUAUAUCUAGUUUUUUAAGAUUAAAUUUAAUUUUAUUUUAAAAAAUUAUUAAUUUUAUUUUUUAAAUUAAUAGUUUUUAGAAUGUAUAUUUUUAGGGAUGAGCUUAGAAAUUUUUUUAUAUAAUAAUAUUUAAUAUUAAUUUAGUAAAUAAGAUUGUAAGUUUUUAUUUUUUAUAGUGUUUUACAACUAAUUAAAUUUUUAAUAAAAUUUUUAUUUAUUAUUUAUUUAUUUUAUUAAAAUUUGAUUUAUAAUUUUUAAUAAUCAGUAAUAAUGAUAAGAUUAGUAUAAUUUUGUGUAAAAAGUAAUUUGAAUGUUUAGGUUUAGUAAAGGAACUCGGCAAAUCUAUUUUUCACCUGUUUAUUAAAAACAUGUCUUUUUGAUUAUAAUUUAAAGUCUCACCUGCCCAAUGAUUAAAUUAAAUGGCUGCGGUAUAUUGACCGUGCAAAGGUAGCAUAAUCAUUAGUUUCUUAAUUAGAAGCUGGAAUGAAAGGUUGGAUGAGAAAAUAACUGUCUCUAUUAAAAUUAUUUAGAAUUUUAUUUUUAAGUUAAAAAGCUUAAAUUUAUAUAAAAGACGAGAAGACCCUAUAGAGUUUUAUAUUUUAUAUAUUAAAUUUAU
rnacentral:rRNA from 1 species